GACGUAGGGCGCGAGCGUUGUCCGGAUUUAUUGGGCGUAAAGAGCUCGUAGGCGGCUCGUUGCGUCGGCUGUGAAAACCCGCAGCUCAACUGUGGGCUUGCAGCCGAUACGGGCGGGCUAGGAUUCGGUAGGGGAGACUGGAAUUCCUGGUGUAGCGGUGAAAUGCGCAGAUAUCAGGAAGAACACCCGUGGCGAAGGCGGCUCUCUGGGACGGUACUGACGCUGAGACGCGAAAGCGUGGGGAGCGAACAGG
rnacentral:rRNA from 1 species